GUAGCAGUGAAAUGCGUAGAUAUUGAGAGGAACACCAGUUGCGAAGGCGGAUCUCUGGACGAUUCCUGACGCUGAGGCACGAAAGCUGGGGGAGCGAAGAGGAUUAGAUACCCUCGUAGUCCCAGCCGUAAACGGUGCGCACUUGCUGUGGGCGGAUUCGACCCCGUCCGUGGCGAAGCUAACGCGUUAAGUGCGCCGCCUGGGGAGUACGGUCGCAAGAUUAAAACUCAAAGAAAUUGACGGGGGCCUGCACAAGCGGUGGAGUAUGUGGCUUAAUUCGAUGCAACGCGAAGAACCUUACCUGGCCUUGACAUGUAGUGGACCGGGUGCGAAAUCACCCUUUUCUUCGGAACUGCUACACAGGUGCUGCAUGGCUGUCGUCAGCUCGUGUCGUGAGAUGUUGGGCUAAGUCCCGCAACGAGCGCAACCCCCGUGUUCUGUUGCCACCCGGAUGAGAAUCCGGAGCACUCUGGACAGACUGCCUGGUUUCAACCAGGAGGAAGGUGGGGAUGACGUCAAGUCAGUAUGGCCCUUACGGCCAGGGCUGCACACGUACUACAAUGCCCGGUACAAUGGGAAGCGAGACCGCGAGGUGGAGCAAAUCCUAAAAACCGGGCCCAGUUCAGAUUGUAGGCUGCAACUCGCCUACAUGAAGGAGGAAUCGCUAGUAAUGCCGUAUCAGCUACGACGGCGUGAAUACGUUCCCAGGCCUUGUACACACCGCCCGUCACAUCAUGAAAGUCGAUUGUACCCGAAGUCGCCGAGUUAACCGCAAGGAGACAAGCGCCGAAGGUAUGGUUGGUAAUUGGGAUGAAGUCGUAACAAGGUAACC
rnacentral:rRNA from 1 species